rnacentral:rRNA from 1 species
ACAGCAGUAGCCGCGGUAAUACGGAGGGUGCAAGCGUUAAUCGGAAUUACUGGGCGUAAAGCGCACGCAGGCGGUCUGACAAGUCAGAUGUGAAAUCCCCGGGCUUAACCUGGGAACUGCAUUUGAAACUGUCAGGCUGGAGUCUUGUAGAGGGGGGUAGAAUUCCAGGUGUAGCGGUGAAAUGCGUAGAGAUCUGGAGGAAUACCGGUGGCGAAGGCGGCCCCCUGGACAAAGACUGACGCUCAGGUGCGAAAGCGUGGGGAGCAAACAGGAUUAGAUACCCCGGUAGUCCCUGUCUCUUAUAC